rnacentral:rRNA from 1 species
AUUGAACGCUGGCGGCAUGCCUUACACAUGCAAGUCGAACGGCAGCACGGGGCAACCUGGUGGCGAGUGGCGAACGGGUGAGUAAUGCAUCGGAACGUACCUUUCAGUGGGGGAUAACGUAGCGAAAGUUACGCUAAUACCGCAUAUUCUGUGAGCAGGAAAGCAGGGGAUCGCAAGACCUUGCGCUGAUUGAGCGGCCGAUGCCAGAUUAGCUAGUUGGUGAGGUAAAGGCUCACCAAGGCGACGAUCUGUAGCGGGUCUGAGAGGAUGAUCCGCCACACUGGAACUGAGACACGGUCCAGACUCCUACGGGAGGCAGCAGUGGGGAAUUUUGGACAAUGGGGGCAACCCUGAUCCAGCCAUGCCGCGUGAGUGAAGAAGGCCUUCGGGUUGUAAAGCUCUUUCGGCCGGGAAGAAAUCGCACGGGCUAAUACCCUGUGUGGAUGACGGAACCGGAAUAAGAAGCACCGGCUAACUACGUGCCAGCCGCCGCAGUAAGAC